UAAAGUAUAAUAAUAAUACUAAUAAUAAAAUGAAAAAGGGAGUUCUUGCAUAAAGAGAUAUGUAAACCUGGGGAGGUCUGGCUGAUUUCACAUGAAAAUCUGUCCAAUUGUGUUGUGCCAUGACUUUGGGGUAAAGGGAAUAUAUAUUUUGCUGGAAGGGGUGACUGCGAGGGGAGAAAGGCAGUGCAUAUGUGCUGAUGGGCUUGGGUUUUUAUUAAUAGAGGACUGAAGACAUGAAGAGGACGAUCAGAGAACUAAGAAGGGAUAGUCCUCAGGAAGCAGUAGUCAGAUUUGAGCAGUUAUGUCCAGAACGGCCUCCCAGCUUUCUCCUAUGCAAUUCAUCUAUUCCUGUGCUUAUGAGGUGAUCUUUCUGAAAUAUUUGGGGUUCUUCAAAGCUACCAAGUGCAUCUGUGCUUAGAAGGUAAACUCUAAAGUCAUGGAGGUCAUCAAGGGUCUAACGCUCUGGCCUCAGUGACUCUCCAGCCUUCCUCUCCUUGCCUGCCUUUUGGAUCCCUCUGACACAGCCAGUCCGUUAGCUCCUAGUCCACCUGCUCCCUGGUAAGCAUGGGCUGUUGGCUGGGGAAGGCCUACUCACCCUUCAAGACCAAGUUCAAAUACCACUUGCUUCAUGAAAGCUCCUGGCCUUUUCCACACAGAAUUAACUCUUCCCUCCUCUGCCAUUACAUUGCAUUACGUAAAAUUUAUAGCCUGGGACCUACAGUCCUUGGUUUGCCAUAUUUAUUUAAAUGUUUGUCUCCCCGAAUGCACUGAAGGCUAAUCAGAAGCAAAGAUUCUGGCUGAGCACGGUGGUUCAUACCUGUAAUCCCAGUACUCUGGGAGGCUGGGACGGGAGGAUCUCUUGAGCUCAGGAGUCUGAUAUAGCCUGAGCAACAUGGUAGAACACUGUCUCUCCAAAAAAAAAAUUUCUUUUAGCUAGCCAGGUACAUGCCUGUAGUUUCAGCUACUCAGGAGCCUGAGGAACACCUGAGCUUGGGAAGUUGAGGCUGCAGUGAGCCAGGAUCCCACCACUGCACCCUAGCCUGGGCAGCAGUGCAAGACCCUGUCUCAAAAAAAAAAAAAAAAAGAUAUAAAAUAAAAGGAAAGAAAGGAAGGAAGGAAGGAAAAGAAAAUCAACAAAAAAUUUUUUGUUUUUUGUUUGGUUUUGUUUUUUUGUAACCCUGGUGUCAAGAACACGGACACUUGGGCACAUAGCACAGAGUAGUUAUUUAAUAAAUGUUUAAUAAAAUAAACUGAAGGGGAAAAACUGCAAACUGCAUAUCAGAAGACUCUGAUUCUAAAAAUAGUGCUUUGGAAGAGAGAACCUGUGAGGAGAAGAUCUGCUCUCUUUAUUUAUAAGAGAUUGAUCUAUAGCUGAUUUAAAAGCUGUGUGAUUGUCAUUAGCAUAUUUUCCUUUAACAUAUAUCUGAACAAAUGUCUAUUGAAUUAUUUAAAGAAAUGGUACACACUAAGUCAUUUUUAAGAGCAUUGGCCUAAUGUUUUUCUAUUGUUAGGGAAGAUUGCAUGAUUCACAUUAAUAAUUUUCCUUUUUUUGGCAUCAUAAAGACAAUUCACACCAUUUAAAAUUGCACUUCUGAAUUUACUCCACAAUAUCAAAGUUUAAUCAGUACAGUCCAAAAGAUCUAUACAGAGGUAUGAUUCUUAAAAAAUUAUAAUUGAGUUGUACAGAGCCAGUGCUCAGGGAAUGCCACUGACAGGAAUUCCCGACAGCUCCAGUCAUUGUGUGUGCUUCUUGGGCAUGGGUUCAGGUCUGUGCGUACUCGGUGUUGUUAUAAAGGUAGUCCAAGAGUGGAGGAUUGGGAAAAGGGGAAGGAUUAUUCAGAAAAUCAAAGGAGUUCAUAAAGCAAGAUUAGUGACAGAGGCAAGAGCUGAACUGAAGUACCUUGACUUAUUCCAGCACUAGGAUUUAAAGCAGCAGCUAAAAUCCCAUCUGUCUGAUCCAGGAGACUUGAACGCUUGGGCACUGUGGCUGGGAAUAGGGGAAAAAGUCUCCAUCCCAUUGCCCACACACUGUGCAAUCCUGAAAUCUUUGUUUUCUACAGCUCCCUCUAGCUAGUAUCAGUUUCCACAUCGGGGUGGGUUUAGAAGCAAAAUAACUUUCUAUCUUGCCAUCAGCCUUGUGCCUCUGAAUUCUGCACACAGAAUUUCUUCCACAAUGGGUAGAACCUUUUGAACACUAAUGGAAGAAAGGAAACAAAACGUAUGUUGAAAGACAAGGUAUUUAAGAAAUUAAAACAAAAUGCUCAUUUACUGUUUUUAAUAUGUAGUCAAAUAUGACAGCAGUCUUACACAAAUAGCUCCCUCCUCCCCCUUCUAAAAUCCCAAAUUUGUUGACUCCUACUGUAAGUGAAAAACAUGGUUUGCUUCUGAAAAUAGCAAUCAACAGCAAAAACACAGGUAACAUUUGGUCCCCACCAGCUUCCACACCUUUAAAGAUAAAUUGUGUCACUGAGGCAGUCAAUACACUAAAUUUCUUAUCAAACUAUUACUAGGGGAAAAAAAUCAGAUUUCCCACACACUGUAAGCAGAACCGAAAGAGCUGCAGAGAAACUUGGUUUAAGAAGCUGUGUGAAGAAAACAUUAAUGACUUAUUGCAAUUGUAAUAAUCCCCAGGUAAAAGAUGGAUGUCAAAUUAAUGGACUGUAAGGAAAUACAUUCAAACUUAGGUCAUUAAUAUUACAGUGAACAUAAUCAGGAAGCUUGCAGAAGUAUGUAGCAUCUCUGAAUUAUUGAAUUUGAACAAAGGUUUCCAAUAGAGGUCACACUCUUUUUGCUCUCAGACACCAUUAGUGCAGAUUCAGAUACAAUCAUUUUUACAUUUGCAGGCUCAGGUACGUUCAACAGAAGGUCACCGAGAAGUAUGGGCUGGUUAUUUUAGCAUGACAGAAUGCAGGCUUGGAAUUUCUCCUUGACAUGGCAGAAGAAAUAGGAAUGAUGCCCAGAGGACUGGAAUAAAUUCAAAAUGCUUGGUUUUCCAAGUUCUAUUUUAAUAAACUUCGGAAAAUUAACCUUUCCCUGAAAGACACGUCCUUGGUUUGGCACACAGGGCUUUCCAAAACAGUGAGAAACGAACUGGCCAUGUGCUGCACUCACACACAUAGUCAUUCUUUUUGCUUGGGGUUGACUAGGUUCAUAGGGCCAGAUUUUCCUCAGUGUCCUCUUGUAGCAGUGCCGCAGUGAGCUUUGUGAUUCUGACAAAGGGUGCCAUUAUAUCCACUUUGAAAUGCAUUACAAAUAUUCUGCAUGCUGGUGCAACUGGCAUAAAAUCUGGAAAGCCACCGCCCCCCCCCCCUCCCCCGCCGCAAGAAGUGCCCAAUUUCUUCUCUUUUCACACUUCAACAUUUCAAAUGACUACACACAGAAUUACCAGAAACAGUAGUAAAUUCCUGGCAUUCGAAGUUCCCAUGAUCCCAGCUGGCAUAUAAAAAAGACUCUCUCCUUUUUUUCCCCUGAAAAUAAUGUACUCUCCAGGCACUGUUGAAAUGCUUCAAAUCAGGCAAAUGAGAGAUUUGUUUUGACCAAUCAAUGAAAAGACUUCCCCCUCUUCUCCGUGAGGGCCCCAAGACUGGGUUACGCCAUACACAAGAUGUCUGUUUCUAAAGAGACUUCACUGAUUUCCCUAAAAUGAUUUUAACAUUUCUUUGCAAGUGAAGCUCUGAUGUUGCCUAAUGUUAUUUUCAGAGUAGCCUGCUGCAGGAUGCCUAAUUUGAGUUUUUAUUUCCCUGCUAUAAAUGUGACAAUCUGAGUAUGUUUUCAUUCAAACCACCUUGAACAUGGUGGCUGAGGCUUCACCACAAAUGUCCAGAAAAUAGCACUGGAGUCUGUCUGAGUCCUGAGAUGGUCAAAUCUCAGAGAAAUCCAGCUCUGGGCCCGGAAAGGAAAGUGCCAUCUCUUAACCUUUCCUCAGGAAAAUUAUUUUAUUGAUUUUUUUGCCUUAUUUUCAUGCCUUUUAAGUCAAAGGAAGAUAAAUGGAAAGUCUCUUUUUGGUCAUUCACUAAUUCUCUAGGGCAAGUCACAUAAUUCUCUAGGACAAAGGCCUCCAUGAUGUUAGGAUGAAUGCCAUAGAAGAGGUAUGGGGGGUGAUGGCUGCAUUUUAGACUAAUCAUAGGCAUAUCCUUUGCUUUCUCUAUGUCAGGGGUCUCAGCAUUGCUUGCAGAAUAUGUGCCCCAGUGUCUGGAUGUCUGAAUGACCUAAAUUUGAGCUGGUCAUCAAUGAGUAUUUAUUAGCACAUUGCUCUUAAGAAGUUAAUAACUCGGCCAGGCACGGUGGCUCAGGCCUGUAAUUCCAGCACUUUGGGAGGCGGAGGUGGGCGGAUCACCUGAGGUCGGGAGCUGGGGACCAGCCUGACCAGCAUGGAGAAACCCCGUCUCUACUAAAAAUACAAAAUUAGCCGGCUGUAGUGGCAUAUGCCUGUAAUCCCAGCUACUUGGGCGGCUGAGGCAGGAGAAUCGCUUGAACCUGGGAGGCGGAGGUUGCAGUGAGACGAGAUCACGCCAUUGCACUCCAGCCUGGGUAACAAGAGCAAAACCCCAUCUCAAACAACAACUAAAAGAAGUUAAUAACUCUGCCUAAUAGCACAUUUAGAUUUUUAUUUUUUUUUCCAUGAAUCAUCUCCAUUCACUCACUCUUAGGUUUAUACUUUCCCCUAAAAUUCCCCCAUGAAACUUCUAAAAUUAGUUUCAUGCUAUGUAUUUGUUUGAUAGGCACAGAAGGUUUACAGCUGCAUGGUCAGUAAGCGAUACUUUGGUCAUGAAUGUAUAUAUACAUAUAUAUUUGCAAUGCUGAGAAAAAGAGAGACUGCUGUUAAAAAUCAAAAUUCUCGUGGAAUGAAGAGAAGCCACUGAGAUUUUUUUCAACCAGAAUGAAAAUAAAUAAAAUAUCACUAUCUGCCAAAUCAAAAGCUUUUAUGUUAUUCCAUUAUGAAAGACAUUUAUUGAGUAAUUUGCAAAUGUUAAUAAGCCUUAGAAACUAGGAAAAGCUGAGUACUAGUUUAUGACUUACAUUUAAUUUUUUUUCCAGCCUUUUAUCCUGGGUUUAAAGUAACACAGAAUCUUUCAGUGUCAACAGUGAGCUGGAAAUUAACCUAUAAUAACAAGUUUUGAGCAUUUUGCUCCUCCAGGCAAAAUUUGGUCACUCAUAAUAAAUAUAUUAUGAAGAAGCCAAUGAUGAUGUAUUCCAUAAACUUGUUAUGAAAAACUGACUCCAGAAAUUAUGUGACUUUACUUGAAUAAUUACCAUUUUACUUCUCUACAAUAAUCAUUGUGAGAGCAGUGGGCAUUGGAUGGUUGAAAAGUUAUUCCAGACAAUAAUUAGGCAGAUGUAUUACAAUUUAAGUUGAGGCUAGAUCAACUUAAUCAAAACCUUAAGAAGUAAUACCAUGUUAUGAUAUGACAAUGGUAGAACAGGAAAUUAUAGACACAUUUGAGGCUGGAGUUUUCUGAUUUCCCUGAUUGUCUUAUGUCUGGGAUGGUCUAAUAAAUGACAUAACCACCACACACACCUAAAGUGCAAAUGCUUUUUUGAUACACUGGUGUUUCUGAAUACCUCAAAACAGUGAUAUUAAUAAUUCAAAACCCAAUAGAAAUAUUGGGUCGAGAAAUCAAACUUCAACUGUUGCAUCUGGUCAGUAAGACUGCAGUGAACUAGAAAGUAUUCUUAGGUCAGGGAGAAUUUUGAGUAACUUUUUUUCUCACAGAUAAAAUUAACAGGUCUACAGCACAGACAUGCAGUGAUAUAUUAUGUUUCAGACACAUUCUUCAGGCAAACAGUUUCUAGUUCCCAUUUUAAGUAGAAUAGAAAAUUGGAGUUGAAAAUUGAUAGAGUAUUGUUGAUCCUAUCUACUUGUAAAGUCUGGUUUAGGGAUGUUAUUGUAUUAUAAUGAUCGGUUACAUGCCUGGACUCUCACUACUGUAUAUCACAAGUUACUAGCACAGUCACUUGGUUCCAGUAGGUGUUCAAUAAAUAUUUCAGUGAACUGAACAGUUAAAUAAAUGAACAAAUAGGGAGAUGAAUCAAAGUGCUCUGUAAAAUGUAAAAUGCUUCACAAACAUAAGGUAAUAGGAGUAUAUAAAAGGUAACACCACAGACCUCGCAUUAUCUGCCCAAAAAACCUUAUAAGGACAAAAAUGUUGUAAUAGUUUGAAGAGCAAAUAAAAAUUGCAAUUAUAUAUGUGGUCAGAAAAUCAGCUAUAUAGAUCAUUCAUUUUCAAAUAUAUUUGGGAAGAAAUAAAACAAAGGCAGAAAAAUUUUAAAUGGCCAAAAUAAAUUGUAUUGCUAACUUAGAUGGCCACAGAUGGGGGCAGGGGUGGAGAGAGGAGAAAUUGAAAACACCACAAAGACCCCGCAAUGGCUAGAACUUGAAAUCUCUGGAUAUUGCAACAAUAGCAGCCUCCUUAAGUCAGCAAAAAGAUAAAGAUUGAUCCAAUGUUCUAUAUUACAGAACAGAGCAGAUUGUCAAUAUAGCAAAUAAAGUUACCGUUGAGUGGACUGCGCUGUCUAAGCUGCUUGGUUGGCCUUAAGUGCCGACAAUUAAGAGAUGAAGGCAAUGAGAACUGAAACAAACAUUUAAGUUCAAGACCCAGUUUACUGACACUGGGACUAUUACUAUAUCUCUUUGGGCCUCAGUUUACUUAUCUGUAACAUUAAGAGGUUGGAUUACAUGAUGUCUCACGAUUCUUUUUUUUUAUUUAGAGAUGGGGUUUUGCUCUGUUGCCCAGGCUGGAGUGCAGUGGCAUGAUCAUAGCUCACAGCAGCCUCUAACUCAUGGGCUCAAGCAACUCUUACACUUCAGCCUCCAAAGUAGCUGGGACUACAGGCAUGAGAAACCACACUUGGCUAACACACACACACACACACACACACACACACACAUAAUUGCUAUCAUCUCUAUCAAAUAUACAUAUAUAUUUGAUAUAUAUGUAUAUUUGUGUGUGUGUGUGUGUGUGUGUAUAUAUAUAUAUAUAUAUGUAUAUUUGAUAGAGAUGGGUCUCACUAUGUUGUCCAGGCUGGAUCUGCCAUGACUCUGGCAUAUGACGCUGAUAACAAAAGUGGGGUUGGAGGUCGUGAAGUAAAAGCAGCAGUAACUUGGAAAAUACCUAAAGAAAUACAAACCAAAAGAACAUUUCACAGGAGGAAGAAAUUAGAACCAGAUAAUCUAGUUUUCAAUUAGUCUUAUUUAAAUAUUAAUUUCCUAUCAUAAACGAAAGCAUCUUGAAGCGAUCUGUGGAUCCUGGCAAAACCUUUCUCAAGUGGGCAAUAGACACUAGGGACGUGAUCAAAUUUAUACUCCCUCAUGAAGAUGUAACAUAAGAAUCUGUUGCGAAAAACUGAUAAAUGAUACUAACCUUAGAAUAUGUAUCUGGAUAUUAGCAUAAUUUAAAAUAAUUUUAUUCCCUUUAUAUAGUCUGCAUGUGCAAAGGUUUACAUUAAGUUCCAAAUAGUUUUAUAUUUUAAUGCCAUAGCUCCUUAGUGUUACAGUGAUAAAAUAAAUAUGAAAUUAUUUAUGUUUGAGAUAGUGCCUUCUAAAUGGAAGCCUCCUUUUGCUGUUAAGUGUAAAAUAGGAAAUCAUAAGAAACUAGAGAAGCUAAGUGGCUCUAUGCAAUAAAGAACUGAGCCAGUUGAAGGAUGUUCAUAGGCAAUGUUGUGAAAGAGUGGAUAAAUACAUGGGAUGGAUGUCAUGUGGGACAAAUACUAAAGGAAAUAUUCAGAUGGGCAGAAAAGAAACUGAAGCAAUUUUGCUUUGUGUUUUGAAUGCAUUCUCUUUUUCUCAAGAUACGUGAUGAACUGAUUACCUUUGAACGCUUUUUGCACUGAUGAACUAUUCUUCCUUUGAAUGCAAAUUUGUGCUGGUACUCGACCAAAAGUCGUACUUUAUAUGGGUUACAUUAACAUAAGGUUUUUAAGAGUCUGCACAUCUGUACAUUUAAUCAGGUUGCAUAAUAAUCUUGCAAGAAAGACAGGACAAAAAUUGUUUUUCUUUUCCAAAAUUGCAAAUUGAGACUCAAGGAGGUUGAAGUGAUUUUCCCAAGAUAACACAGUGGGGAUUUAAAGCUGUGUCAGCUUGUAUUUUUUUCAUUACUCCAUAGGGCCUCUCUAAAAUCAAAAAUGCUUGGAUAUGCCCAAGAGCUACCAAAUCUUGUUUCUUUCCUCUUCUUCCCUUUUCUUCAAGGACAACGAAUUCAAAUGAAACACAGCAUUGUCCAUUAAAAUUUUCUUCAACCACGGAAGUGUUUCUUGUUAUCCAAUAUGGUAGCCACAAGCCAGGCGUGGCUAUUGAGCCUUUGAAAUGUGGCUGGUGUGACUGAAGAAUUACAUUUUUAAUUUAAUUUUAAUUAAUUUUAAUUUCAAAAGCCACGUUGGCUAGUGGAUAUAAUAUUGGACAGCACAACUCUAGAAGCUACAUAUAAGAGAUUGGCAAAUGCCCUUGAUACCUCAAACUAAAAUAGUAAUUGGGGGUCAAUUGCACUUUUAGUUUUCUAGGUGUUAGUAUAUCUUGAAGUCCAAACCCUUCACACACAAGCCACCAUUUAUGGUCAGUGCCAUCUCUUGGGCUUAAGCCAUUUAUGCCUGAGGUUGCAAUUUUUUGAAUUUUUGCAACCAGACCUUGGUGAUGACCUUGAGCAGUAGGCUCUAAAUAACUCCCAUAAGCUUAGCGUUCCAAUAAUGGAACACUAGACAUAAAUGGGUCAAGAUAUUUUUCUUGAGUUUCAGUAUCUUUACCUAGUCACUGAUUAUUAUUUUUACAAAUAAUUAAGCUGAAAUAACUAAAUUCCUCUGUAGCACCAUUUAUCUGAUUUAUCCAGAAGUUUGCAUCUCUUUGUUAUCUUUUUUUGUUAUUCUAUUAUGUUCAUAGUAUAUUAAGUAAUGUACAGUUGCACCUUCUCUAAUACAUAAUUAUGUAAAGUCCAAAGCAUUGAUGACCAUUUUGAAUUUUCAGAAACUGUAUGUUUUCUCACAUGGGAACAAGAACAAACCAGAAAUAUAAAAUAGAAUGAGAGUUUCAUGAAAGAAAAGGAUUUAGCCCACAUUUCCCCUUACCACUAAAGAAUUCACACACCACACACUUCUCACUACCUUUAACUCUUAGUUCUGUUAAGAAGUUUUCCCACACUCCAGUUUCAAGAAGUUUUCUCUAUUAUUUGUUGCUUUGGUUCACUGAAGAAUUCAGUGUUUAUGUUUUUUUACAGAAUUAUCAAUUGUUUUGAAUCAAAAUAGAAAAUUGAUUCAAAAUUGUUUUGAAUCAAUUGUUUUGAAUCAAAAUAGAACGCUGAAGGGUAUAAGAAUAACAUUACUACUUGAGAAUUAAGUAGUACUUAAGGGACACAAACUAAGAAUACACAUGCAAGAUUUAUAUAACUGUCAAACAGUUGCUAUUGGAAGCCACAGCUACCACAAAAGGUAGUGAAAGAAGCAUCAUUUUAUCCUAAAAGGAAGUCGUCUAUGUGUUCCUUAUGCAUUUGUAGAAUACCAGUUGCACCAGUAAUAUUGGCAUGUCAUUUGGUUAUUGCUGUCUCACCAAACCUGCUCCACAAGAAUAAGUGGGGAUACUUCACAUAAACCAUACAUAGCUGCUGCAAAGAGAUUGUCAUCACAAUCCUUCAAUCACCUUGCUUUUCAAAAUUUUUUUUAAUAGUUAACUAAGUUAGGAAAAAGUUACCAUCUUCAUCAAAUACUUAAAAUUGUAAAGCAAAAUAUAUGGAAUAGAAAAUGGCAUUCGUUCACGUCAGACACUUGUGAUGAUAAAGUAUGGUACUCUGUGAGUGGACUGAUGACCAAGGCAGAUGUGUACAGAUGCUAAACUGUUGGGAAAAUGCUGCUUAUGAGACAUCUCUGCUUCUUGAGACCUGAAUCUGCAAAUGUUGAGCACUGUACCUUACAAAAGCCAACAGUUUCUUGGCACAGAGUGUAAAAGUUUCAUGGGUUAGAAUGUUGGUGAAAUUGUACACUCAGUACCUGAAUUUAAACUUUAGGAGCUCAGUAUGUAUAUUAACCACUUUCCUUCUCAAGGGAUGCCAUUCCUUUCUUCAUUCAUGAGGAAUUUUCAAAAUCAGGAUUGUGAUUCCAAGGCAAUCGAUAUCUCCAUUUAAGGAGCUUUCUGCAUCCACUUUAUUUAGCCAGAGAGGGAAGGGGUUGACAUAAACGAAAAAGUGGAUCAAAUAGUCAAGAACAUGAUGGGCGCGGCAAUGAACUGAACCACUUUUGCUAAGUGACAGAAAAAUAUUCUAAUAUUAAGGAUUAUUUUACAACUCUAUGGAAGUAAUGCAGUGAUGCAUCUUGCAUCUGUUUUGCCUUGAUGACAAAACGCACUCUUAGAGUCACAAGAUCCUGCCUUGUGUUAGUUAUAAACAAAAAUAUAUUUAUAUAUAUAUAUUUAUGUAACUACUAUGUGCUUUAAAGAAAAUUACUGUAUGAUUCAGCAGGGUUUUUUCAUUCUUUCUAUCGCCAUGCUGACGUGAAUGGCUUCUUAGACAGGAAUCAGCAAUGAAAUGGGUGUUUAGUACUGAAAAGGCAUAAAAUUAAAAAUAAUCAUAUGUUUAAAAUCCCUUAACAUUUUUGUUUCAAAAAUGAUUAAGGAACUCUUCAUACUGUUUCCUUUUGUUUCCAUCAGCCCAGAGCAACUGUGGUUUCAUGGGACUUAACAGUUGGGGAUUGGAGGUAAGGCUUCCAUAAAGCAUAAAUCAGAUGUUUUCAUGCUGAGGCAGGAAAACAGAAAGCCCCGUUUGCCACCCCCUCUUCCCAAAUCCUUAGUUAAUUGUUCGGAAAUUUUGUCACAGCUCAUAGAAAGGUCAUUCAUUACAAAGGAAGAGGCAGACAUGGUUUGAACCUCCUGUACGGAUAAAAAGAUUCGUUCUGUAAAGUGAUGAACUUGUUGGUACAGAUGGAUCUAGACCAGAAAAACAACAUCCUUUUGCCACACAUCUGUUUUGAAAAUGUAGAAAAUCUCUUAUUUUGUGUUUGUUCUCACUCUUGCAUGGGCUGUUUUUCUUAGCAAUCUUGAGACAUUCAUCAUUGCUCUUUUGAGUGAAAG
rnacentral:lncRNA from 1 species